CCUCAGUGGGGUGGUGGGCAAAUAGGGAGUCUCAACAGGGUCCACCUUCCCUCUGUGCCAUCCACCACCCCUCCAAUUCCAACCCUUGGGGCUUUGCCAGGCCUUGCACCUGUCCUAGAUCUGUGUACAACCUGCUUCUUGCCUCUGGAAUGCCUGUCUCCAUUUGUCCCCUUUGGAUCCUGUUUACCCUUCAAGGUCAGGUCCAUACCCUGGAAAGCUGUUGAGGCUCACAGCCUCACAGCCACCAUAAACCUUUUGGGAAUGAGGCUUGGUGCCCCUGGGAAAUGGUUCUGAGGAUAACACCACCAGCAACAGCAGCACUUUUUACUAUUACUGCCACCUGUUUCUACUACGACUCCUGGAGUUUUCUAUGUGAAGCACUUCACACACAGAUGCAUGUACACAUGCACUUUACCUACAUCAUCUUAUUUCAUCUUCAAAACAAACCUUUGAGGUAGAAAGACAGACAUCUUUCCAACAAUGGGAGUUGCCUAGGAGUGACAUUGCUGUCUCUGGACGACAUAAGCCCCUGUCAAUGAAGCUUCUUUGGUAAGAACCCUAGAACAAAUACAUUCAGUACUAUCAAUGGACUCUGAAAAAUAAAUAAAAGCAGGUGGAUUGGACAAAGCAAUAAACACUAAAUAUUGACCAA